rnacentral:tRNA from 1 species
GCGGGGGUGGCAGAGCGGUUAUGCAUCGGCCUGCAGAGCCGAAGAUCGCGAGUUCAAAUCUCGCCCCUCGCU